CGANGACCUACCNUUAGAGGCUGCUGCACCUCUUGGGUGCCCCGGUCCAACAUCGAGGUCGCAAACUCUUUCGUCAAUAAGAGCUCUCAGAAAGAAUAACGCUGUUAUCCCUGCGGUAACUUUUUUCCUUGAUCAGUUUUACUGGAUCAUUUAAUUAAAACUAUAAGGUAGUUUUUAGAUUUGUUUGUCUUUUGUUGUAGUGGCGAAGGUUAUUUUUUCUUCGCGGUUGCCCCAACCAAAAACCCCCUUGAGGAAAGUCUAAAUAUUAAAGUAUGUUUAGUUAUUAGCUUUAGUUUUUUGAUGUUUCUUGUCUAGGUUAGUUUAAAGCUCGACAGGGUCUUCUCGUCUUGCGCUUUUAUUUUCGUUUCUUCACAAAAAUACUAGGUUCUUUUUAAAAGUAGGAGACAGUUAAAUCUUCGUCUUGCCUUUCAUACUAGUCCUCAAUUAAAGGACAAAUGAUUAUGCUACCUUUGCACGGUCAAGAUACCGCGGCCGUUGAAUAUGUUAUCACUGGGCAGGCAGUACUCUUUAUAUAUUUAGAAAAACAAAGAGC
rnacentral:rRNA from 1 species